CUACCAUGGCAGUCACGGGUAACGGAGAAUUAGGGUUCGAUUCCGGAGAGGGAGCCUGAGAAACGGCUACCACAUCUACGGAAGGCAGCAGGCGCGCAAAUUGCCCAAUCCCGACACGGGGAGGCAGUGACAAGAAAUAACAACUCUAGGUUUUCUUAGAAGUGUAAUGAGGAUAAUUUACAAACCUUACCAAAUGCAAUUGGAGGGCAAGUCAGGUGCCAGCAGCCGCGGUAAUUCCAGCUCCAAUAGCGUAUAUUAAAGUUGUUGCAGUUAAAAAGCUCGUAGUUGAAAAUCUGAUUGCCCAGGUCUCCAGCCUUUAGGCGGGGAUUCUGACAGUCAUCCGCUUGCAAACAUAUGUUCGAUCUUCACCGGUUGGCUAUGUGAGUAAGCACUUUACCUUGAGAAAAACAGAGUGUUCCAGGCAGGUUUGUCCGGAAUGCAUUAGCAUGGAAUAAUAGAACAUGACUGAAGUCUAUUUAUUGGUUAAAGGCUUUAGUAAUGAUUAAUAGGAACAGUCGGGGGCAUUCGUACUCAGCAGUCAGAGGUGAAAUUCUAAGAUUUGCUGAAGACGAACUAAUGCGAAAGCAUUUGCCAAGGAUGUUUUCAUUAAUCAAGAACGAAAGUUAGGGGAUC
rnacentral:rRNA from 1 species